CUUCUUCUCAAUAACACAACCAAAUUUGGCGCUAAAUCGCAAGCAGGCCACCAGUCGCUUCAAUUAGUGAUAAAAACUCUGCUAUUCUUCUUCAUGCGGAGAGCUGGGCUUGGGAUUUGUCGUCCGGGUGAAGGAUCAUAGAAACCCCUAAUUUAAGGUCUUCGAAUUCGAGCGAUUUCGAGAGUGAGAGGGCUAGGGGACUUGAUCUUCUCUUGCUGAGCACCAAAAGAACCGUGACAGUAUCUGUUUGGUUAGCUGGUGAGAUCAGAUUUCAACUUAUGGAGUUGCUUUCGGUAAUGCGGAAAUCAAUUAUUGCAUUCUUUCUGCAUCUGGCGCAUGAUAAUUUGGUUCGAAUCAAUGCGGGGUCCAUAGUUUGUGGUUUUUUCCAUCUACGUGGAUAAGAUUUUGAGAAUUUUGGGUAUUGUGAAUCCUCCAUGUACCAGAUUACCUUGCUGUGUGGUCCCUUUUCACAAGCUUUGCAAAAAUUUAGAGCAUCAAUUUCUAAGAAACUCAGCGAAUGCCACGACUUCAGUUCUGCACCAAUACACAGUUUCAGAUUGGGGUGGUAUAAGUUGUAGUGUGUUUGUGUGUGUCAUGUGCAUCUGGGAAUACUGCGGAGGCGUAACGUGAUUCAGGUUUUUGAAUGGCUGUGAAUAUCCGAGGUGCUCAGCCUUGCAAAUACUCGUAAUGACGAACUUGCCUCAGCGGAUCAUGUAACAUCCGAGAGUUUUUACUUUUUAAAUUGAAUUAUCUCCAUAGAGAAAAUGGUGAUUGAGCAUGACACGAUUUUGAACUGAGCACAAGAAAAUGCAUCCACAACUCUCCAAUAUCUGAAGGCUGUAUUCCCAGCUUGGUCCUCGGCUUGUGUAGUAUAUACAGCCCAUCAGUGAUGAGGAGGACAAAGGAUGAGCUCAUUCCUCUUCUUGUGAGAGAUUGCCCAUAAACUGACGUUAGUGUGAAGUAGUAAUUGGUAUGUGAGGCAAAUCCGAUUUAUAUUUUUCUCAAGAGUGAUGAGAUAGAAUUUCUUUGUCAGGUUGUUAAGCAGUUUCACCGCUUCUUGUGGUGAUUGGUAGUGAAUAAACGAGCAGCAUCAUGAAGUUGAGAGAUAGCUGGAUGUUGGGUUAGUAAUUUGUAUUCAUUUUUCAUGAGUACUCCUUUAUGAAGUUUCAUAUUGUCGCCGGUAAUUGGAGGUUCUUUUAUAGAAUGUUUA